rnacentral:tRNA from 1 species
GGUGAUGCUAGUUUAGUGGCAGAAUGACCGACUGUGAAUCGGUAGGCGAGGGUCCGAUUCCCCGCAUCACCCC